rnacentral:rRNA from 1 species
AACGAACGUUGGCGGCGUGGAUUAGGCAUGCAAGUCGAGCGGGAUUAACUUACUUCAAUUCUUCGGAAAAGAAGUUCGUUAUGAGAGCGGCGAACGGGUGAGUAAUAUAUGGGUAAUUUGCCUCUUUGUUUGGAAUAGCUACCGGAAACGGUGGGUAAUGCCAAAUGUGAUCGACCUCCGCAUGGAGGUCUGUUUAAAGGCGGGGAAUCUUCGGAUCCUGUCGCAAAGAGAUAGGCCCAUAUCCUAUCAGCUAGUUGGUGAGGUAAUGGCUCACCAAGGCUUACGGGUAGCCGGCCUGAGAGGGUGAUCGGCCACACUGGGACUGAGACACUGCCCAG